rnacentral:rRNA from 1 species
GACGAACGCUGGCGGCGUGCUUAACACAUGCAAGUCGAACGGAAAGGCCCUGCUUUUGUGGGGGGCUCGAGUGGCGAACGGGUGAAUAACACGUGAGUAACCUGCCCUUGACUUUGGGAUAACUUCAGGAAACUGGGGCUAAUACCGGAUAGGAGCUCCUGCUGCAUGGUGGGGGUUGGAAAGUUUCGGCGGUUGGGGAUGGACUCGCGGCUUAUCAGCUUGUUGGUGGGGUAGUGGCUUACCAAGGCUUUGACGGGUAGCCGGCCUGAGAGGGUGACCGGCCACAUUGGGACUAGGAUACGGCCCAGACUCCUACGGGAGGCAGCAGUGGGGAAUAUUGCACAAUGGGCGGAAGCCUGAUGCAGCAACGCCGCGUGCGGGAUGACGGCCUUCGGGUUGUAAACCGCUUUCGCCUGUGACGAAGCGUGAGUGACGGUAAUGGGUAAAGAAGCACCGGCUAACUACGUG